UGUGGCUCAGUGGUAGAGCACUUGCCUAGCAUGCAUGAGGCCCUGGGUUCAAUUCCCAGUA
rnacentral:tRNA from 1 species